rnacentral:rRNA from 1 species
AGAGUUUGAUCAUGGCUCAGAACAAACGCUGGCGGCGUGUCUUAAGCAUGCAAGUUGAGCGGCAAGGGGGAGCGAUCCCCCCUAGAGCGGCGGACUGGUGAGUAACACGUGGAUGAUCUACCCGAGGCAUGGGGAUAGUCACUAGAAAUAGUGGGUAAUACCGAAUACGGUGCGCAUCGUGAGGGUGCGCAAGAAAGGUGCUACGGCACCGGCCUAGGAUGAGUCUGCGUCCCAUUAGCUGGUUGGUGAGGUAAGAGCCCACCAAGGCGAUGAUGGGUAGCCGGCCUGAGAGGGUGUACGGUCACACUGGGACUGAGAUACGGCCCAGACUCCUACGGGAGGCAGCAGCUAAGAAUAUUCCGCAAUGGACGAAAGUCUGACGGAGCGACGCCGCGUGGAUGAAGAAGGCCGAAAGGUUGUAAAGUUCUUUUGUUGGGGAAGAAUAACCAUGGGAGGGAAUGCCCGUGGGAUGACAUGAACCGACGAAUAAGCCCCGGCUAACUACGUGCCAGCAGCCGCGGUAACACGUAGGGGGCGAGCGUUGUUCGGAAUUACUGGGCGUAAAGGGCAUGUAGGCGGUCUUGUAAGCUUGGCGUGAAAGACCACGGCUCAACCGUGGGAUUGCGUUGAGAACUGCGAGGCUUGAGUGACGGAGAGGGAGCUAGAAUUCCUGGUGUAGGGGUGGAAUCUGUAGAGAUCAGGAAGAAUACCAAUGGCGAAGGCAAGCUCCUGGCCGAUGACUGACGCUGAGGUGCGAAAGUGUGGGGAUCAAACAGGAUUAGAUACCCUGGUAGUCCACACUGUAAACGAUGUGCACUAGGUGCUGGUACGGAUGUAUCAGUGCCGUAGCUAACGUGAUAAGUGCACCGCCUGGGGAGUAUGCUCGCAAGGGUGAAACUCAAAUGAAUUGACGG